rnacentral:rRNA from 1 species
UAGCGGAGGAAAAGAAACCAACAGGGAUUGCCCCAGUAAUGGCGAAUGAAGCGGCAAGAGCCCAAAUUUGAAAUCGGGCAACCGAGUUGUAAUUUGGAGACGGGACACUAGAGAGGAGGAAGGCGAUUAAGUGCCUUGGAACAGGCUGCCGUAGAGGGUGAGAGCCCCGUGAAUCGCUGGAGACCGAUCAAUUAGUGCCCGCCGAAGAGUCGAGUUGUUUGGGAAUGCAGCUCUAAGUGGGUGGUAUAUUCCAUCUAAGGCUAAAUAUUAGCGAGAGACCGAUAGCAAACAAGUACAGUGAUGGAAAGAUGAAAAGAACUUUGGAAAGAGAGUGAAAUAGUACGUGAAAUUGUUGAAAGGGAAGGGUAUUUGAUCCGACAUGGUGUUUAGCAGCGGCCCGUUCCUCGUGGAUGGGUGCACCUGGUUUACACUGGGCCAGCAUCGGUUCUGGGAGCCAUAUACGGGGUUCGUGAAUGUGGCCCUUCGAUUCUGUCGGAGGGUGUUAUAGCGCGGACAUCUUGUGGCUAGCCGGGACCGGGGACUGC